AUUGAACGCUGGCGGCAGGCCUAACACAUGCAAGUCGAGCGGAUGAAGGGAGCUUGCUCCUGGAUUCAGCGGCGGACGGGUGAGUAAUGCCUAGGAAUCUGCCUGGUAGUGGGGGAUAACGUCCGGAAACGGGCGCUAAUACCGCAUACGUCCUGAGGGAGAAAGUGGGGGAUCUUCGGACCUCACGCUAUCGGAUGAGCCUAGGUCGGAUUAGCUAGUUGGUGGGGUAAAGGCCUACCAAGGCGACGAUCCGUAACUGGUCUGAGAGGAUGAUCAGUCACACUGGAACUGAGAAACGGUCCAGACUCCUACGGGAGGCAGCAGUGGGGAAUAUUGGACAAUGGGCGAAAGCCUGAUCCAGCCAUGCCGCGUGUGUGAAGAAGGUCUUCGGAUUGUAAAGCACUUUAAGUUGGGAGGAAGGGCAGUAAGUUAAUACCUUGCUGUUUUGACGUUACCAACAGAAUAAGCACCGGCUAACUUCGUG
rnacentral:rRNA from 1 species